rnacentral:snoRNA from 1 species
AUCUUCUCAUUGAACUCCUUUCUGUCAACUGGAGGCAGUUUAUGGAUAUGCACAAAAGGCUGUUCACAGAACUAACAUUACUUUACCUCUUGCUUUUACAGAAGUAUAUUUGGCUGUUUUGUGAGACAUUC